UGGGGAAUUUUGGACAAUGGGGGAAACCCUGAUCCAGCCAUCCCGCGUGUGCGAUGAAGGCCUUCGGGUUGUAAAGCACUUUUGGCAGGAAAGAAACGUCAUGGGUUAAUACCCCGUGAAACUGACGGUACCUGCAGAAUAAGCACCGGCUAACUACGUGCCAGCAGCCGCGGUAAUACGUAGGGUGCAAGCGUUAAUCGGAAUUACUGGGCGUAAAGCGUGCGCAGGCGGUUCGGAAAGAAAGAUGUGAAAUCCCAGAGCUCAACUUUGGAACUGCAUUUUUAACUACCGGGCUAGAGUGUGUCAGAGGGAGGUGGAAUUCCGCGUGUAGCAGUGAAAUGCGUAGAUAUGCGGAGGAACACCGAUGGCGAAGGCAGCCUCCUGGGAUAACACUGACGAUCAUGCAAGAAAGGGUGGGGAGCAAACAGG
rnacentral:rRNA from 1 species